AUACCAGCCCCGCGAGUGGUCGGGACGGUUAUUGGGCCUAAAGCGCCCGUAGCCGGCCCGGUAAGUUCCCGCCGAAAUCCCCGGGCUCAACCCGGGGGCCUGCGGGAAUACUGCCGGGCUAGGGGGCGGGAGAGGCCGGGGGUACUCCCGGGGUAGGGGCGAAAUCCUAUAAUCCCGGGAGGACCACCAGUGGCGAAGGCGCCCGGCUGGAACGCGCCCGACGGUGAGGGGCGGAAGCCGGGGGAGCGAACCGGAUUAGAAACCCGAGUAGUCC
rnacentral:rRNA from 1 species